UCAGGGCUUGACUUUCCAUCUCAUUUUUUAAAAAAAAAUGUUCUCCUGUUCGCUCUGACAAUCCCCACACCAAGGAGCGAGGGUGGGUGCUGGCUGCAUGCUGUAACACGGCGGGAUAUUUGUGUCACUGGAUAGCAUUUAUUACCCACCCCUAAUUACCCAGAGGGCAAUUAAGGAUCAAGUACACUGUCGUGAGUCUCAAUUCACAUAUUGGACAAACCAGAAGAUGUGCUGAAGCAGGACACAGCCAAAGUAAAACAAAAGAGAACAAUCUCCAGUAGAAGAAUUACCCAAAGUUUACUGAUAGAAAUUGGUGAUCCAGACCUAAUGUUUUGACAAGCUAUUUCUAUUAAUUAACAUCUCAUGAACAUCUCAAAGUAGAUGCCAUCAGAAAUAUAGCAAUAGUAUCACAAGGUGAGCCUUCUGUUGCUGAUAGAAGUGCAAUUAUAUGG